UAAAGAUGUACAGGGUGUGUAGUGCAAAAGUAGGUAUGCAUUAUGUAUCACAUGAAUGUUAUGAUAAUUAAUUCAUUAAAAUUAUUAACACAUUAA